CCUACGGGGCUGCAGUGGGGAAUAUUGGACAAUGGGCGAAAGCCUGAUCCAGCCAUGCCGCGUGUGUGAAGAAGGCCUUCGGGUUGUAAAGCACUUUCAGUGGGGAAGAAAGCCUUGGGGCUAAUACCCUCGAGGAAGGACAUCACCCACAGAAGAAGCACCGGCUAACUCCGUGCCAGCAGCCGCGGUAAUACGGAGGGUGCGAGCGUUAAUCGGAAUUACUGGGCGUAAAGCGCGCGUAGGCGGUCUGAUAAGCCGGUUGUGAAAGCCCCGGGCUCAACCUGGGAACGGCAUCCGGAACUGUCAGGCUAGAGUGCAGGAGAGGAAGGUAGAAUUCCCGGUGUAGCGGUGAAAUGCGUAGAGAUCGGGAGGAAUACCAGUGGCGAAGGCGGCCUUCUGGACUGACACUGACGCUGAGGUGCGAAAGCGUGGGUAGCAAACAGGAUUAGAUACCCCUGUAGUC
rnacentral:rRNA from 1 species